GAUGAACGCUAGCGGUGUGCCUAAUGCAUGCAAGUCGAACGGGAUCCUUUGGAUUCGUCUGAAGGUGAGAGUGGCGAACGGGUGAGUAACACGUAGGUGACCUGCCCCGGAGAGGGGGACAACCACUGGAAACGGUGGCUAAUACCCCAGAUGUUAUUGCGCUUAGAAAGCAAUUACUAAAGUUCCGGCGCUCCGGGAGGGGCCUGCGGCCCAUCAGCUUGUUGGUAAGGUAAUGGCUUACCAAGGCUAAGACGGGUAGGGGGCGUGAGAGCGUGACCCCCCACACUGGUACUGAGACACGGACCAGAUACCUGCGGGUAGCAGCAGCAAGGAAUAUUGCCCAAUGGACGAAAGUCUGAGGCAGCAACACCGCGUGGAGGAUGAAGGCCUUCGGGUUGUAACUCCUUUCUGGGGAAGAGAAAGGACGGUACCCAGGAAUAAGUACUCGGCUAACUACGUGCCAGCAGCCGCGGUAACUGUCACAUGUG
rnacentral:rRNA from 1 species